UACGGAGGGUGCAAGCGUUAUCCGGAUUCACUGGGUUUAAAGGGUGCGUAGGCGGGCAGAUAAGGCAGUGGUGAAAUCUUCGAGCUUAACUCGGAAACUGCCAUUGAUACUAUUUGUCUUGAAUACUUUGGAGGUAAGCGGAAUAUGUCAUGUAGCGGUGAAAUGCUUAGAUAUGACAUAGAACACCAAUUGCGAAGGCAGCUUACUACACAGCGAUUGACGCUGAGGCACGAAAGCGUGGGGAUCAAACAGG
rnacentral:rRNA from 1 species